GCGUCUUGGUAGGAAUUAAGAGUAAUGACAGAAGAAAUUCCUAAUGAAUAAUGUUUGUGAGCAUAAGACAAGGAAUCAUAAGAAAUAAAGUUAGAUAUAGGGUAUUUGAUUUUGGAAGAGGGUUUUGUCACACAUCCUGUAGCUAGGGUGUAGUGGUAAUCUUUGAGAUAAGGAGGUGGUUUGGUUAUUCUAGAGGACUGUCUAAGAGGAGGGUCAAGAUUAGUAGUAUUAGGUAUAAUAGAGUCAGUUGUAGUGUCUUGGGAGGAAUCAGUGGCAUGAGCAGGUGUACUAAGAACCUGGUUAUUGCUAAGAUCAUCAGUGUAAGGAAAGAGGGUAUCUAGAUGAGUGGGAAGAAUAUGUUGAGUUGGUGAGACAGCAGGUUGGACACUAAUGUUUUUGAAAGGGAAUGUAUGUUCAAAGAAAACCACAUUUCUAGAGAGAAAGAUUUGUCUAUUUUG
rnacentral:lncRNA from 1 species